rnacentral:rRNA from 1 species
AUGGUGCAGCUCCCGGCCAUGGGGAAGCGCCAGCACCCGGAGGCGGCCGAGCCGCCCUUGGCGUCGCCGGCCGCCGCCGUGAAGAUGGAGGCGGACGAGCUCCGGGACUUCGACCACGGCCCGCUCGGCAAGCGCGCCCGCCCGGCCCAGCCCUCGCCGCCCCCGCCCCCGCCCCCGCACCAGGACAUGUAUCACAAUGUACUUGAUGAACCUAGCCCAUUGGGUCUUCGGCUGAAAAAAAGUCCAUCUCUGUUGGAUCUCAUUCAGAUGAGGCUUUCUCAAGCAAAUUCCGAUGCAGGACAGUCCUCUACGGACAAUGCUGAGCCUUCCAAGAAGAAAGACCUUAAAUCUGGUACAUCAUCAGCUGGUGAACGGUUGAAAGCAUCAAACUUUCCUGCAAGUGUAUUGAAAAUAGGCAAAUGGAAGUACACAUCCAAAUAUGAAGGUGAUUUGGUAGCAAAAUGUUACUUCGCGAAGCAUAAACUUGUAUGGGAAGUUCUGGAAGGUGGUCUCAAGAGUAAAAUUGAAAUUCAGUGGUCAGAUAUAACUGCUUUGAAGGUAACUUUGCCUGAAAUUGGAGAUGGAUCCUUGGAUGUGAUGCUGGCUCGACCACCUCUCUUUUUCAAAGAGACGGAUCCUCAACCAAGAAAGCAUACAUUGUGGCAGGCUACUUCAGAUUUCACUUGUGGCCAAGCAAGUAUGAACAGGCAUCAUUUCUUGCAGUGCCCUACAACCUCGUUAGGCAAGAAUUUUGAAAAGCUUGUCCAGUGUGAUCAGAGGCUACAUCAGUUGAGUCAACAAACGGACGUCAUCUUGGACUCUUCAGUUUUUGAACCCAGAUGUUCUAUAUUUGAGGAUCCGGUGGAAUCGAAGUGCCAUGACUUUGCUAAUUUAAAAGAUGAACGUGAAGAUCUGCCUGGGUUUUCAGGGUCUGUGUCACCAUGUGCUGGUUCAUCUAUGUCUACCAGGAAUGAUACAAACGAUUGUUUUGGGAAGCAACCAGAAUUUGUCGCGCAGCCAAUGCACCCAGGGGCUAGUGCUGUAAAUGCACAACCAGUCAGCAGAAACGUAAAUGGUGUAGCUCAAGAAUUCAAUAUCCCGAACUGGUGGAGUCAGCUGAAAGUGCCUGGGCUUAGACCAUCAAUGUCAGUCGAUGAUCUGGUCAGCCACCUAGGAAAUUGCAUCAGCGAGCAGAUCACCUCAGGCAAUCCUUCGAUGGCCAACAAUGAGGUGCCUACAAAAGAAUCGCUGGAGGAGAUUGCGCAGUACCUUCUUGGUGAUGCGCAGGGCCCACAGGCGCCGGCCUCUGAUGAGCGACUGAUGGCACGGGUGGACUCACUUUGCUGCCUGCUUCAGAAAGACACAGCGCCGACAGCCCAGCCAAAGCCCGAGCCAAACGACAGCGGUAGCAUCGGCGGGGUGGACUCCGAAGGAUCAGACGAUGAAUUCAGCUCAGCAUCAACGAGGAAAACUGCAGAUGCUAACCAGCCGCCACCAGCUAUGUCCCGAAAGGACUCGUUCGGAGACCUGCUCAUGAACCUCCCCCGCAUUGCCUCGAUACCGCAGUUCCUGUUCAAGAUACCAGAGGAUUCCGAGAACUGA